rfam:Gossypium raimondii Chr09_contig_1478, whole genome shotgun sequence.
AAUCCAUGCAUUGGACAUUUUCGAAUUAAAUCUUUGAAUCGUUCCCAAGCUUCCUAUAGUGUUCCAUCCUCAAAUUACUGAAAAGAUAUGAUUUAAUUUCUAAGCUU